rnacentral:rRNA from 1 species
GAUCAUUACCAAUACGCAGUGAGCAAUCACUGUCUGCCUGUUUGGUGGCCCUUGGGCCGCUAAUCAGUCAACCCUUUGUGAACCAAAAAAACCUUUCGCUUCUGCAGCGGGGCCUCACCGCCUGUCAGCCUGCGGUUAGCAUCAACCUUUAAACCUGUUGUCAAAAACAUUGUCUGAUAACCAAAUUUUCGAAUGAAAAUUAAAACUUUCAACAACGGAUCUCUUGGUUCCCGCUUCGAUGAAGAACGCAGCGAAACGCGAUAGUUAAUGUGAAUUGCAGAAUUCAGUGAAUCAUCGAGUCUUUGAACGCACAUUGCGCCCAUUGGUAUUCCUUUGGGCAUGUCUGUUUGAGCGUCAUUACAACCCUCAGCUAACCGCUGGUUUUGAACCGGAACGGGUAACUCCGCGCCGGUUUUAAAGUUGUAAGCUCUGCUGGCUGCUCUGCCAAACCAGAACAUAGUAAACACUACUUGUUCAAAGGUGAAGCUAAGCGGUACGGCCUGAACAAAACCUACCCAUUCUAAGGUUUGACCUCAGAUCAGAUAAGGAUACCCGCUGAACUUAAGC